rnacentral:rRNA from 1 species
GACGGGGACCCGCACAAGCGGUGGAUGAUGUGGAUUAAUUCGAUGCAACGCGAAGAACCUUACUACCCUUGACAUGUCCGGAACUUGCCAGAGAUGGCUUGGUGCCCGAAAGGGAAUCGGAACACAGGUGCUGCAUGGCUGUCGUCAGCUCGUGUCGUGAGAUGUUGGGUUAAGUCCCGCAACGAGCGCAACCCUUAUCAUUAGUUGCUACGCAAGGGCACUCUAAUGAGACUGCCGGUGACAAACCGGAGGAAGGUGGGGAUGACGUCAAGUCCUCAUGGCCCUUAUGGGUAGGGCUUCACACGUCAUACAAUGGUCGGUACAGAGGGUUGCCAAGCCGCGAGGCGGAGCCAAUCCCACAAAGCCGAUCGUAGUCCGGAUUGUUCUCUGCAACUCGAGAGCAUGAAGUCGGAAUCGCUAGUAAUCGCAGGUCAGCAUACUGCGGUGAGUACGUUCCCGGGUCUU